GUAACUUCUUAGACUCAAGACAAAAAAGGAGGUCUUCUAGCAGAUCAUAUCCCAGCCUUGAAAUCCAGGAGAAUGGAUACUCCAGAGACUGCCAUGGUGCACUUGGAGGGACAUCAAGUUCUCGGCAUUGCCAGAGCCCAAGGUUGCUCUCUCAAGAUGUAAGAUCUCAGCUAUUGUCCCAGCACCAUGCCUGCCUGCUUGCCUGUUGCUGCCAUGCUCCCAGCUAUGAUGAUCAUGGACCCUAACCUUCUGAAACUGCAAGACCGAUAAGAGCACCCUUCAUCUGGGUCCCCAGCAAUCUGUCCUGUUCUACUGUGGGUGGAGAAUAGCACCGUGCUGGGUGGCUGUGUGACACAUGGAGCCACAUGGCUAGGUCUUGCACAACAGAAGAGGAAGCAGGGAAAUACAGCUUAAAUGAGUGUCAGCGGCUGGCAGGAUGGCUCGGUGAAGAAGGACAGUUGCUGGCAAGAUUGAAGUGUUCAGUACCUGGAUCCCACUUGGUAGAAACUGAAAUCCAGCUCUAGCAAGUUGUCAUCUGACCUCCACAUGCCAGUAUCACCAGCCUCUGCCUUGCCUCCAUCUGCCACCGUGGACCCCAUCUCUCAGGACCCGUGAGCUAAAACAAACCCUUGCUUCCUGAGGUGGCUUUUGGUCAGGGUGUUUUAUCAUAGCUACAGAGAAGCAACUAAUACACUCUGCUGGCUUAUAGGUUGACUUUUGAAAAAAACAACAGAAAAAGAGAGAUGAGAAAGUGAUCAACUGUGACCGUAGAUUGGAUGUACAGUUUAAUCUGUAAAAGAGCAGAUGCUAUGGAUGGAAGGAGUAUGUCUCUGGAAUGGGUAUUUUUUGGAAACUUUGAAAUUAUUCUGAAGUAAUAAUCCCUCUAGCAAACUAAUGUACAAGAAAGAAAAGUAAAAAUAGUUAAAGGAUUAAUUCUAAAUUGUAUACCAGGGCCAGAUCAAUUUCUAGUGAGUUAUUUUAAAAUUUUAAAGAGAAGCUUGUUUCUCUGCUGAAGAAAAUAAUAAAAAAAUAUCCAAGUUCAUAAAGCUGGCUCAGCCCUGAUCUUAGGCUUUCACUGUAACACAAAUUGGAAAGUUAUAAAUAAGCAUGCUAUGUAGAUAUGCAUGCAAACUUUCAGAUCUUGAGACUAAAUUAAAAACUGGGAUUUAUUUGAA